AUACGUACUGUGCGAACGUUAUUCGGAAUCACUGGGCUUAAAGGGUGCGUAGGCGGUCAGAUAAGUAGGGUGUGAAAUCUCUCGGCUCAACCGAGAAACUGCGCUCUAAACUGUCUGACUUGAGUGAGAUAGGGGUGUGCGGAACUUCCAGUGGAGCGGUGAAAUGUGUUGAUAUUGGAAGGAACACCGGUAGCGAAAGCGGCACACUGGGUCUCAACUGACGCUGAGGCACGAAAGCUAGGGUAGCGAACGGGAGUAGAAACCCUAGUAGUCC
rnacentral:rRNA from 1 species